rnacentral:rRNA from 1 species
CCCUUAGAUGUUCUGGGCCGCACGCGCGCUACACUGAUACGUUCAACAAGUUUAGAACCUUGACUGAGAGGUCUGGGUAAUCUUUUGAAUGCGUAUCGUGUUAGGGAUAGAUUAUUGCAAUUAUUAAUCUUGAACGAGGAAUUCCUAGUAAACGCAGAUCAUCAAUCUGCAUUGAUUACGUCCCUGCCCUUUGUACACACCGCCCGUCGCACCUACCGAUUGGAUGGUCCGGUGAAGCCUCGGGAUUGUGGUUCUUGCCGCUUUAUUGUGGCGUGACCGCGAGAACUUGUCUAAACCUUAUCAUCUAGAGGAAGGUGAAGUCGUAACA